UAGACAUUUUGUUUUUAUUGCAGUAUUUUGUUAUCUGACUGAAGUAAAGCAUGGCACACACACAGGCUUCGCAGUUGAAGACCAAACUAGUGCAAACUGAUUCAUCGUGGUUUUGUAUCUACACACAAUAAUCAGAACAACAAGAAAAGAAUCAUGAAAUAGAUAAGUCCAAUCCAUCAUUCAAUACAGUUAUGUUACACUCAAUUCUUGUAUGCAGCCUACAUAAGCAUUGGCUUGUUUUAGGUUCCUACAGGCUUUGAAAAAACCUGUGAAGUUUAAUAUUUUUUCUUAUAGUUAAACCAUUCUAUUACCAACUAGAUCUACAUUUAUUUCAUUUAUAGUGUAUUCACAAUUUCAAAGUCCCUUGUUCUGAACAAAACCACAGUUUACUGGAAUACCAAGAUCUGCUAAAGUAGUUCCUAGAUUUAAGCAUUAUUUUAGUAUCAAUGUAUUCCUAGAUGCAACGCAAUUAGUUUAAAGAUACACAUUAGAAGAACAAUCUAGCUGUAAGUGACAUUUACUGUUUAAAACGGAUAUUUCUUUAUAAAAGUUUGUUUACGCUAAUUAGCUUCGUUAUAGAUAUUUAAAUAAUUGAAGAAUAUUUACGUCCCAAGUAAAUGCCAUAGAGAACAGCCACAUACGAAAAGAUAUUAAAUAACCUGAUUUCAAAUGUUGACAUUGAUUCAAAAAACAUUUAGAAAUAUAAUGAACAGAUUUCAAAUGUUGACAUUUAUCCAACAGACAUUUAGAAAUAUAAUGAACAGAUGUAACAACAUUGAACCUAAUGAACUUUAUAAAAAACCAGAACAUAUUGAGAGAAUGUAAUGUAGGGUAAAAACAAAAGAAAAAAUAGAAAUAAGUUGAUGUCUACAGUUUUACUUUAUCUCUUUCACUGAUAUUGUUUAUAAAGGAUCUACUCUUCGCUAGGAGGUUAUAAAGGAUCUACUC